rnacentral:rRNA from 1 species
AUUGAACGCUGGCGGCAGGCCUAACACAUGCAAGUCGAGCGGAUGAAGGGAGCUUGCUCCUGGAUUCAGCGGCGGACGGGUGAGUAAUGCCUAGGAAUCUGCCUGGUAGUGGGGGAUAACGUCCGGAAACGGGCGCUAAUACCGCAUACGUCCUGAUGGAGAAAGUGGGGGAUCUUCGGACCUCACGCUCUCAGAUGAGCCUAGGUCGGAUUAGCUAGUUGGUGGGGUAAAGGCCUACCAAGGCGACGAUCCGUAACUGGUCUGAGAGGAUGAUCAGUCACACUGGAACUGAGACACGGUCCAGACGCCUACGGGAGGCAGCAGUGGGGAAUAUUGGACAAUGGGCGAAAGCCUGAUCCAGCCAUGCCGCGUGUGUGAAGAAGGUCUCGGAUUGUAAAGCACUUUAAGUUGGGAGGAAGGGCAGUAAGUUAAUACCUUGCUGUUUUGACGUUACCAACAGAAUAAGCACCGGCUAACUUCGUG